AGCGAACGCUGGCGGCAGGCUUAACACAUGCAAGUCGAACGGGCAUAGCAAUAUGUCAGUGGCAGACGGGUGAGUAACGCGUGGGAACGUACCUUUUGGUUCGGAACAACACAGGGAAACUUGUGCUAAUACCGGAUAAGCCCUUACGGGGAAAGAUUUAUCGCCGAAAGAUCGGCCCGCGUCUGAUUAGCUAGUUGGUAGGGUAAUGGCCUACCAAGGCGACGAUCAGUAGCUGGUCUGAGAGGAUGAUCAGCCACAUUGGGACUGAGACACGGCCCAAACUCCUACGGGAGGCAGCAGUGGGGAAUAUUGGGCAAUGGGCGAAAGCCUGAUCCAGCCAUGCCGCGUGAGUGAUGAAGGCCCUAGGGUUGUAAAGCUCUUUUGUGCGGGAAAAUAAUGACGGUACCGCAAGAAUAAGCCCCGGCUAACUUCGUG
rnacentral:rRNA from 1 species